rnacentral:rRNA from 1 species
CAGUCGGCCGGUCUAAUACAUGCAAGUCGAGCGAGCAGAACCAGCAGAUUGUACUUCGGUAAUGACGCUGGGGACGCGAGGGGCGGAUGGGUGAGUAACGCGUGGGGAACCUGCCCCAUAGUCUGGGAUACCACUGGGAAACAGGUGGUAAUACCGGAUAGGAAAGCAGAUCGCAUGAUGAGCUUAUAAAAGACGGCGUAAGCUGUCGCUAUGGGAUGGCCGCGCGGGGCAUUAGCGAGUUGGCAGGGGAACGGCUGACCAAGGCAAUGAUGCAUAGCCGAGUUGAGAGACUGAUCGGCCACAUUGGGACUGAGACACGGCCCAAACUCCUACGGGAGGCAGCAGUAGGGAAUCUUCCACAAUGGACGCAAGUCUGAUGGAGCAACGCCGCGUGAGUGAAGAAGGUUUUCGGAUCGUAAAGCUCUGUUGUUGGUGAAGAAGGAUAGAGGUAGUAACUGGCCUUUAUUUGACGGUAAUCAACCAGAAAGUCACGGCUAACUACGUGCCAGCAGCCGCGGUAAUACGUAGGUGGCAAGCGUUGUCCGGAUUUAUUGGGCGUAAAGCGAGCGCAGGCGGAAGAAUAGGUCUGAUGUGAAAGCCCUCGGCUUAACCGAGGAACUGCAUCGGAAACUGUUUUUCUUGAGUGCAGAAGAGGAGAGUGGAACUCCAUGUGUAGCGGUGGAAUGCGUAGAUAUAUGGAAGAACACCAGUGGCGAAGGCGACUCUCUGGUCUGCAAUUGACGCUGAGGCUCGAAAGCAUGGGUAGCGAACAGGAUUAGAUACCCUGGUAGUCCAUGUCGUAAACGAUGAGUGCUAAGUGUUGGGAGGUUUCCGCCUCUCAGUGCUGCAGCUAACGCAUUAAGCACUCCGCCUGGGGAGUACGACCGCAAGGUUGAAACUCAAAGGAAUUGACGGGGGCCCGCACAAGCGGUGGAGCAUGUGGUUUAAUUCGAAGCAACGCGAAGAACCUUACCAGGUCUUGACAUCUAGUGCCAUCCUAAGAGAUUAGGAGUUCCCUUCGGGGACGCUAAGACAGGUGGUGCAUGGCUGUCGUUAGCUCCGU